rnacentral:rRNA from 1 species
UACGAAGGGGGCUAGCGUUGCUCGGAAUCACUGGGCGUAAAGCGCACGUAGGCGGACUCUUAAGUCGGUGGUGAAAUCCUGGAGCUCAACUCCAGAACUGCCUUCGAUACUGAGAGUCUCGAGUCCGGGAGAGGUGAGUGGAACUGCGAGUGUAGAGGUGAAAUUCGUAGAUAUUCGCAAGAACACCAGUGGCGAAGGCGGCUCACUGGCCCCGGUACUGACGCUGAGGUGCGAAAGCGUGGGGAGCAAACAGG